rnacentral:rRNA from 1 species
UAUCUCUGUAGAGUCUGCAUAUCAAUAAGCGGAGGAAAAGAAACUAACAAGGAUUCCCUUAGUAACGGCGAGUGAAGCGGGAAGAGCUCAAAUUUGAAAUCUUCAAGGUUUUACCUUGACGAAUUGUAGUUUAAAGAGGUGUUUUCUGUUGAAGUUUCGGUAAAAGUUCUUUGGAAUAGGACAUCAUAGAGGGUGAGAAUCCCGUAUUUGACCGUUAUUUCCUCUAGCUGUGUGAUACACUUUCAAAGAGCCGGAUUGUUUGGGAAUGCAGUCCAAAAUGGGUGGUAAAUUUCAUCUAAAGCUAAAUAUUGGCGAGAGACCGAUAGCGAACAAGUACCGUGAGGGAAAGAUGAAAAGAACUUUGAAAAGAGAGUUAAACAGUACGUGAAAUUGUCAAAAGGGAAGCGUUUGACACCAGUGUUGUUUUUCCGAAAAUCAAUUACGAAUGGCUUGAUUCUGUGUUGUAUUGACCUUAUCAGCUUUCUUCACUUUUUUCGAGUCUUUCUUAAUGCACUUUUCGGUUAACAAGUCAACAUCAAUUUCUUUUGUUGUAAAAGAGUACUCGGAAGGUGGCUUUCUUUUCGGAGAAAGUGUUUAUAGCCCUAUACUUCUACAAUCGGAGAGAUUGAGGUCUGCAGCGUAGAUCCUUCGGGGUUAGAUACACUUGUGCUAAGUUGUAGCUUAUCAUAGACAACUUGUUGACUAUGUUUAGUCAUGCGGCUUACUCGCUUGUGCUAUUUUACCUACGCUUAGGAUGUUGAACGCGCACAGAGUCUC